CGCCAGACUCCUACGGGAGGCAGCAGUGGGGAAUAUUGCACAAUGGGGGAAACCCUGAUGCAGCGACGCCGCGUGAGUGAAGAAGUAUUUCGGUAUGUAAAGCUCUAUCAGCAGGGAAGAAAAUGACGGUACCUGACUAAGAAGCCCCGGCUAACUACGUGCCAGCAGCCGCGGUAAUACGUAGGGGGCAAGCGUUAUCCGGAUUUACUGGGUGUAAAGGGGGCGCAGACGGCGAUGCAAGCCAGGAGUGAAAGCCCGGGGCCCAACCCCGGGACUGCUCUUGGAACUGCGUGGCUGGAGUGCAGGAGGGGCAGGCGGAAUUCCUGGUGUAGCGGUGAAAUGCGUAGAUAUCAGGAGGAACACCGGUGGCGAAGGCGGCCUGCUGGACUGCAACUGACGUUGAGGCCCGAAAGCGUGGGGAGCAAACAGGAUUAGAUACCCCAGUA
rnacentral:rRNA from 1 species